GACGAACGCUGGCGGCGUGCCUAAUACAUGCAAGUGGGACGCAAGGGAACACACUGUGCUUGCACACCGUGUUUUCUUGAGUCGCGAACGGGUGAGUAACGCGUAGGUAACCUGCCUAUUAGCGGGGGAUAACUAUUGGAAACGAUAGCUAAUACCGCAUAAUAUUAAUUAUUGCAUGAUAAUUGAUUGAAAGAUGCAAGCGCAUCACUAGUAGAUGGACCUGCGUUGUAUUAGCUAGUUGGUAAGGUAAGAGCUUACCAAGGCGACGAUACAUAGCCGACCUGAGAGGGUGAUCGGCCACACUGGGACUGAGACACGGCCCAGACUCCUACGGGAGGCAGCAGUAGGGAAUCUUCGGCAAUGGACGAAAGUCUGACCGAGCAACGCCGCGUGAGUGAAGAAGGUUUUCGGAUCGUAAAGCUCUGUUGUAAGUCAAGAACGUGUGUGAGAGUGGAAAGUUCACACAGUGACGGUAGCUACCAGAA
rnacentral:rRNA from 1 species